rnacentral:rRNA from 1 species
UACGUAGGCAGCAAGCGUUGUUCGGAGUUACUGGGCGUAAAGGGUGUGUAGGCGGUUGGAUAAGUGUGGUGUGAAUCUCCCGCUUAACUGGAGGUGCGCUACAACUGUCUGACUAGAGUGUGGGAUGGUAAGUGAUUCCUGGUGUAGCGUGAAUGCGUAGAUAUCAGGAGGACACCGUGUGUAGACGCUACUGACCAUAACUGACGCUGAGACACGAAGCGUGGUAGCAACAG